GAUGAACGCUGGCGGCGUGCCUAAUACAUGCAAGUCGAGCGGUAAGGCCCCUUCGGGGGUACACGAGCGGCGGACGGCUGAGUAACACGUAGGAACGUACCCCAAACUGAGGGAUAAGCACCGGAAACGGUGUCUAAUACCGCAUGUGCUCUUCGGAGUAAAGCUACGGCGGUUUGGGAACGGCCUGCGCAUGAUUAGCUAGUUGGUGAGGUAAUGGCUCACCAAGGCGACGAUCAUUAGCUGGUCUGAGAGGAUGAUCAGCCAGACUGGGACUGGGAACGGCCCAGACUCCUACGGGAGGCAGCAGUAGGGAAUUUUCCACAAUGGGGGCAACCCUGAUGGAGCAACGCCGCGUGCAGGAUGAAGGGUUUCGGCUCGUAAACUGCUUUUAUCUGUGACGAUUAUGACGGUAGCAGAUGAAUAAGGAUCGGCUAACUCCGUGCCAGCAGCCGCGGUAA
rnacentral:rRNA from 1 species